rnacentral:tRNA from 4 species
GCGCCGCUAGCUCAAUUGGCAGAGCAAGUGACUCUUAAUCACUGGGUUCGGGGUUCGAGUCCCUGGCGGCGCACCA